rnacentral:misc_RNA from 1 species
UCCGAGUUGACCCCGGCAGUCUCCUAUGAGUCCCCGCCAUAACGCGCUGGCAACAUAGAACGAGGGUUGCGCUCGUUGCGGGACUUAACCCAACACCUCACGGCACGAGCUGACGACAGCCAUGCACCACCUGUGCACAGGCCCCGAAGGGCUGCCGUAUUUCUACGACAUUCCCGUGCAUGUCAAGCCUAGGUAAGGUUCUGCGCGUUGCGUCGAAUUAAACCACAUGCUCCACCGCUUGUGCGGGCCCCCGUCAAUUCCUUUGAGUUUCAUUCUUGCGAACGUACUCCCCAGGUGGCUAACUUAUCACUUUCGCUUAGUCUCUGAAUCUUAAAGACCCAAAAACGAGUUAGCAUCGUUUACGGCGUGGACUAC